rnacentral:rRNA from 1 species
GUGGGGAAUAUUGGACAAUGGGGGGAACCCUGAUCCAGCAAUGCCGCGUGUGUGAAGAAGGCCUGAGGGUUGUAAAGCACUUUCAGUGGGGAGGAGGUUCAUUAGGUUAAGAGCUAAAUGGAUGGACGUUACCUACAGAAGAAGCACCGGCUAACUCCGUGCCAGCAGCCGCGGUAAUACGGAGGGUGCAAGCGUUAAUCGGAAUUACUGGGCGUAAAGCGUGCGUAGGUGGUUCAAUAAGUUAUCUGUGAAAUCCCUGGGCUCAACCUGGGCAGGUCAGAUAAUACUGUUGGACUCGAGUAUGGGAGAGGGUAGUGGAAUUUCCGGUGUAGCGGUGAAAUGCGUAGAGAUCGGAAGGAACACCAGUGGCGAAGGCGGCUACCUGGCCUAAUACUGACACUGAGGCACGAAAGCGUGGGGAGCAAACAGGAUUAGAUACCCUUGUAGUCC